UCCCGCCGGCCUGGCCCCGCAGGACGCCUGGAGCCGGUUCGGGCGAAGAGCCAAGGCCGCUCCAUCUGCAGAGGCCAAAGGAGAGGAGGGUAUGAAAACCGAAGAAGAUUCUGGGGUCCCUGUCCUCAAGCCCGGCACCCCUUCUGGAUGGAGUGCCCGUGGCCUCCGUCCAACUUCCUUCCAGAGCCCGGGAUAGGGGCGGGCCCUGCGUGCUACCCUCAGUGUUCCAGGCGUCUCCUUACUAAGUGCCCCUACUAAGGCCUAGCCAUAAGCCCGCUGCGGCAGCUUGGGAGCGAAGGCCACCACCUCGAGAGACCAGCAGAUGACAGGGGGGAGGGCCCUGCCUGCUCGCUGGGCCACCCCCCAACCCGGCUCCAGAGCCCUGCUGCCGGUGGACCCUCAGGAUCUGGACGGGUCUGGUUUCUGUUUAUGCAUCAGAACGCACUGUUAGGCCCGAGAAUCCAGGAAAGCAGUCAGCGCCCCAGGAGAAGAAGAAAUUCCCCACAGGAGGGCUUGCGGGACAUGGGCUCCGACAGGCAGGCUGGCUCCGUUUGCACUGCCCGGGUGACUUCCAAACCGUGGGACACUUCCCUAAGGGACCGUCAAGUGGAAAACGUGCGCGGCUUGGAAAAAGCCGCACUGGAGGAGUCAUUCCUCAGCCCUGGCCUGAACUUUUGAAGGAUGUGUGUCACCCUGCCGCCCUCGCCAGCUGCUUCGUCCCCGAGCAGUGAGAGGGGAGACUGCCGGAGCCUGCUGGUCCUCCACGGUUCCCUGAAGCGUCCACCUCGGGCGCCGCACCUGUGUGCUCAGGAGCCUGAGCGUGAUGCAGAGCCCUUCUCACGGUCCCCAGCGUUUGCUCUGUGCGCCAGGAGACUGCUCAGGGCUGCGUUGCAGUAACCCAUGCGAGUCCAGCAGAGAGCAUUGGUUUGUCAGGCUUCGUCUGCAGAAAGCAGUGGAGGCGCACGGAGAGGGGGAAAUACGAGCUGAUCGCAAGUACAGAGCGGUGCUUCUCCGAGGAUGGGCACCGUCCGCCACUUGUGACGCGGUCCCAGGGUCAGCAGAGCCCACAACCUCAGGAGCGUGUUAAAGUGCAGAACCUCGCCACUGCCACCACCCCGUGUGGGCGCCUACAUGUGGGCCAGCUUCCUCUGCCACACCCACUGCUGACCAUCUGCACAAAGGAGUAACCAGCUCGUGAAAAGUCAGAUCCGAAGCCCCACCCGAGACUCUGGCCCUGGGACCUUGGGGUGUGGGACCUGGGACCCAGACCUUCAGCCCCCUCCCUAGGUGAUGCCCACGCCUGCUGCAUUUGAGAGACAGACAUUUCUUCCUAGUGCAUAAGCAGUGCCUAGGAGCCUCAAAAGUGCUGCUUCCCGGGUUCAGCCCUGGGUCUGUAGAACUCGGAUCUUCGCGGGGCAGAGGCUGAGCCCUGCAGGAGAGACACUGGCACAGUCACUGGCGAGGGAGGCUCCGGCCUGCCACUGCUCUGCCAGUGUGGGAGAACACAGCAGCCAGGACGAGGAGCUGGGACGCCGGCACCUGGAUAAAGGGCCCUAGACAGAAGUGUGCUUUUGUUUCCAAGAGAGAUUAGGAAAAUUCAUUUGGGAGGGUGGUUAUGAGUGACUUUCUCUCGACACCUGUAAACACGGUUGACUGUAAUUGAACUACAGAUGUUUGCUAAGCUUGACAGCCUGCUCUCUGCCUCCCACUGGUCGGGGUGUCUGGGAAGGGGUGCAUCUUUAAAGCAAAUCAAGUGCUUCUAUCAAGCCUGCGUUCCCCACCGUUAAGCUACCCCUUUUUAUUUUCCAAACUCCUCACUGUUAGACAAAAGGCUGUGUUGUAAGGAAAGCAGGGAGGGUGUUAGCAAGAGGUGUGCUUGGGGAAUAAAACCAGGUCUUGGGGGAAAGUUGAAGAUGUUUGAGGCGCUGUGGAGAUGAGUGAGAACAGCUCGAGAAGACCUCCGUCCGUGAACAGAAAGAGACAGGCUUGAAGGAAAAACAAGUGAGAGACUGAGAGGGAAGGCGGGAGGGAGAGAGGAGGAGAGGGACGGGGAGAAGGAGGAAGAGGAGGAGGAGGAGGAGAGAGAAGAGCGCACUGAGCCCUCUGCCUUCAGUUCUGCAGCGCUCGCCUGUCCAAGCUAGGUCACACUGGGAAUAAAGAGAGACGGGCUGCUGCUAUUACAGUCUGCAGUUUCACCUGCACCAUCUUUCUCCUUUAGAAUGGAC